rnacentral:rRNA from 1 species
UCGCUACUACCGAUUGAAUGGCUUAGUGAGUACCACGGACUGGAGCGUUUGGUAGGUUCUCCUGCUAUUUCGUUCUGGAAAGUGUUUCAAACUUGAUCAUUUAGAGGAAGUAA